rnacentral:rRNA from 1 species
CCCUUAUCCUUUGUUGCCAGCGGUUCGGCCGGGAACUCAAAGGAGACUGCCAGUGAUAAACUGGAGGAAGGUGGGGAUGACGUCAAGUCAUCAUGGCCCUUACGACCAGGGCUACACACGUGCUACAAUGGCAUAUACAAAGAGAAGCGACCUCGCGAGAGCAAGCGGACCUCAUAAAGUAUGUCGUAGUCCGGAUUGGAGUCUGCAACUCGACUCCAUGAAGUCGGAAUCGCUAGUAAUCGUAGAUCAGAAUGCUACGGUGAAUACGUUCCCGGGCCUUGUACACACCGCCCGUCACACCAUGGGAGU